AUUGAACGCUGGCGGCAGGCCUAACACAUGCAAGUCGAGCGGAUGAAGGGAGCUUGCUCCUGGAUUCAGCGGCGGACGGGUGAGUAAUGCCUAGGAAUCUGCCUGGUAGUGGGGGAUAACGUCCGGAAACGGGCGCUAAUACCACAUACGUCCUGAGGGAGAAAGUGGGGGAUCUUCGGACCUCACGCUAUCAGAUGAGCCUAGGUCGGAUUAGCUAGUUGGUGGGGUAAAGGCCUACCAAGGCGACGAUCCGUAACUGGUCUGAGAGGAUGAUCAGUCACACGGGAACUGAGACACGGUCCAGACUCCUACGGGAGGCAGCAGUGGGGAAUAUUGGACAAUGGGCGAAAGCCUGAUCCAGCCAUGCCGCGUGUGUGAAGAAGGUCUUCGGAUUGUAAAGCACUUUAAGUUGGGAGGAAGGGCAGUAAGUUAAUACCUUGCUGUUUUGACGUUACCAACAGAAUAAGCACCGGCUAACUUCGUG
rnacentral:rRNA from 1 species